AUUUUGCUAAACGUAUAGAAUGUCUGACAGGAGAUAAAGUCACCUUAAAAACCAAACACAACAGGGGUACAGUUUUGCCAAAACAUUGGUCCACUCUGUCAGGAAGGCAGUCUUUAUUUUAAAAUAAGCGGCUACACAAAAAGCUACUCGAAAACUACAUCCUUUGUACGUAUGAUCCGGGUGAAUUUGCCAUUUUAAUUGCAAUACAGAAGUAUCCAAUCACACAGAAGGUAGUUGUAAUUGCACUCAUAGUCCAUUGUGUUGGAUGGUAUCAUACAGAGUUCAAAAGGUAGUCUGUCUGUUUCACCCAGAACAGCCUCUGCAUCCACAGUGAGUGCAUUCAAUGAUUCUCCCCACUUCCAGUUUGCUUUUGGGCACUCUACAGAUGCAGUUGGUUCCGAAGUUGGUGUCCCGCGUCUGGAUGCACCGCAGGCAGCAGAGGUUCUCAUAACCCUGUUUCUUCCACUUUGCAAUCAGGUUUUUGUCAGCGUACCCUUCCUUGAUGCAGUAUUCAUAAAGCUCUCUGCUGAUAGCUUUUCUUUUAUAGAAGAGAUCAAAGAUGUAACGUGUUUUUUGAUGGUGAAUUCUGAAGAUAGGCCAAAGGGAUUCCACUUUCCUCUUCCCUUCAUGAGGCUCAGUCUCCGCUUCUCUCAUCUUCUGAUCCAGCUCAUCCAGCGUGGGCUCGAUCAGCUCCCAGCCAUCGGGGGGCGGCUUCCUGCUCCGCUUCACUUUGGGCAUUGCCUUGGAAACGAAGGAGCUUUACAAGGAGGUACCUGGAUGCCUCAAAGUCCCUCCGAGCGCCGCAGCCCCCUCGUCGCACCGCCUCUG
rnacentral:lncRNA from 1 species